GAUGAACGCUGGCGGCGUGCCUAAUACAUGCAAGUCGAGCGAACAGACGAGGAGCUUGCUCCUCUGAUGUUAGCGGCGGACGGGUGAGUAACACGUGGAUAACCUACCUAUAAGACUGGGAUAACUUCGGGAAACCGGAGCUAAUACCGGAUAACAUGUUGAACCGCAUGGUUCAACAGUGAAAGACGGUCUUGCUGUCACUUAUAGAUGGAUCCGCGCCGCAUUAGCUAGUUGGUAAGGUAACGGCUUACCAAGGCAACGAUGCGUAGCCGACCUGAGAGGGUGAUCGGCCACACUGGAACUGAGACACGGUCCAGACUCCUACGGGAGGCAGCAGUAGGGAAUCUUCCGCAAUGGGCGAAAGCCUGACGGAGCAACGCCGCGUGAGUGAAGAAGGUCUCCGGAUCGUAAAACUCUGUUAUUAGGGAAGAACAAAUGUGUAAGUAACUAUGCACGUCUUGACGGUACCUAAUCAGAAAGCCACGGCUAACUACGUG
rnacentral:rRNA from 1 species